UUUUUUUUUUUUUUUGAGACAGGCCCUCGCUCUGUCACCCAGGCUGUAGUGCAGUGGUGCAAUCACAGAUCACUGCAGCCUUGACUUCCAGGCUCAAGUGAUCCUCCCACCUCAGUCUCCCAAGUAGCUAGGACUAUGGGCAUGUGCCACCACACCUGGCUAAUUUUUGUAUUUUUCGUAGAGACAGAGUCUUAUUAUGUUGCUCAGGCUGGUCUUGAACCCCUGAGCUUAGGCGAUCCUUUUGACUCAGCCUCCCAAAGUGCAGGGAUUAUAGGCAGGAGUCACCGCACCCUUCCUUUUUCUUUCUUUUCAAAAAACUGAUUUAUUUCCAUGGGUAGAAGAAGACCCAACAUUUUGAAAAUACAUUUGUACCACGACUUUUUUUUUUUUUUUUGAGAUGGAGUCUCUCUCUGUCACCCAGGCUGGAGUGCAGUGGCGCAAUCUCGGCUCACUGCAAGCUCCGCCUCCCGGGUUCAAGUGAUUCUUCUGCCUCAGCCUCCCGAGUAGCUGGGACUACAGGCACCCGCCACCACGCCCGGCUAAUUUUUUUGUAUAUUUAGUAGAGAUGGGGUUUCACCAUGUUAGCCAGGAUGGUCUUGAUCUCCUGACCUCGUGAUCCUCCCAACUCAGCCUCCCAAAGUGCUGGGAUUAUAGGCGUGAGCCACCAUGCCCUGCCUGUACCACGACUUUUUUUGUAGUGUUUGUUCCUCAGCUACUUUUGCUCUCUUAUCUUCUAAACUAGACUCCUUCAGAGGUGCAUGAAAGGGCUUGCAAUUUAGGUAGUCAACAGCUAGUAAGCGGCAAAGAUGCAAACAUGAUCUGAAUCAGCAUCUUAGCUGAUGGUGAUUGUGGGCUUUCAGCUGCCACUGACUCCAAAGUGUAUAAAAGGAAAAAAAACUCAGAUGAGAAAAGUUUUCAAAAUGUCCACUGGGUGGAGCUGUCAGUUUAACCGGAAGUAUGAUUGGCUUACUUAGCUACAAGUUAUACCAGUGAUGUUUCGGUGACUCUUAAAAUUGGUGCCCAAACCCUUUUCUACUUCCUUCAAACCCAGAUCAUAAUUACAACUAAAUAACAUUGGUGGGAUUAUUGUCAGUUUUCACUCACAAGACUGUAAAGUUCAUGGAAACCCUGAAGGUCAGGAUUCCCAGAGAUGCCACUUUGGUCUUCUUCCUCUAAAUUUAGUUGGUUAUCAAAGGAAUCAUUUUGGGAGCUUAUUAAAAAUGGAUUCCUGGAAUCUUUCCCAAUCCUGAUUUAGUAGUAGUGGGGUGGAGCCAUGUGUUAGUAUCUAUUGAUGUGUAAACAAAUCACCCCAAAACUUAGAAGCUUAACAGAAUAGUACUUAUUAUCUUUCACAGGUUCUGUGGGUCAGCAAUGUAGGAGUAACUUAUUUUGGGGUUAUGGCUCAGGGUCUCUUGUGAGGCUGCUGUCAGAUGUCAGCUGGGGCUGUCUUCAUCUGAAGGCUCGACUGGGGCUGAGGGAUCCACUUCUGAGGGUGCUGGCAAGCUGGAUCCAGGAACAGUAUAGGCCAGGGAGGAUGUGCUGG
rnacentral:lncRNA from 1 species